UAUCUAUGGAAUUGGAACAAGUUGAUGUAGGGCAGUAUACCAGACUCUCUCCCCGCCACCCCCAAGUCAAAAAGGGGAGGAGUCUGGCUACGCGAGACUACUGUUAUACCUGAUGCUGUUCUUGAUGCUGCUCCUAAAAUAAUGAAGGUGGUAAAGUUUCUAAAACCGUUUGAAUCACAGUGGUGUAUGAUAAGAUUAUGCCUUGAAGUAGAUUUAGAUGAAGAUGAGCUAGUUAUUAAAAAACACCAUGACAACAGUUCCUGUCAAGGGCGUAGCUAGCAUAAGGCUAGGAUAGGCUAUAGCCUACCCUGAAGUUCAAAAGUCAGAAUUGAAGUUUAGUAGUUUACCUAUAUUGAGUUUCUGCCUUAGUCACUUAUGAUCAAAGAUUAUAGAAGUUUAGGGUAGCUGUCUCAACUGGCAGUUACUCACUCAGUCACUUUUGACACAGGCAAACAGA